rnacentral:rRNA from 1 species
CCAGACUCCUACGGUAGGCAGCAGUGGGGAAUAUUGGACAAUGGGGGGAACCCUGAUCCAGCGACGCCGCGUGAGUGAAGAAGUAUUUCGGUAUGUAAAGCUCUAUCAGCAGGGAAGAAGAAUGACGGUACCUGACUAAGAAGCCCCGGCUAACUACGUGCCAGCAGCCGCGGUAAUACGUAGGGGGCAAGCGUUAUCCGGAUUUACUGGGUGUAAAGGGAGCGUAGACGGCAAUGCAAGCCAGAUGUGAAAGCCCGCAGCUCAACUGGGGGAGUGCAUUUGGAACUGUGUGGCUGGAGUGCAGGAGAGGUAAGCGGAAUUCCUGGUGUAGCGGUGAAAUGCGUAGAUAUCAGGAGGAACACCAGUGGCGAAGGCGGCUUACUGGACUGUAACUGACGUUGAGGCUCGAAAGCGUGGGGAGCAAACAGGAUUAGAUACCCGAGUA